GGAAGUGGGGAGGAGGAUUUGGUAGGAAGAAUGUGUGCAUGAAGAGAGAAUUCCUUAAAUGAAGAUGCAUGGGAACAAGAAAUGGACCUUUCCCGACACACAUCUUUUGGAUCAUCAAGGAUUGUCUCAGAGGUUUUGUUCAUAUUGAACUCACUUUAGCAAAACUCUCUUGACUGCAAUGAGAAUUUUACCUAAAUAGAAGCCAUCGGGAAACAAAAACCAAAACCAGCCAACCCUGCACAUUUUGAUUGAGAGCUGAAAGUCGACC